rnacentral:rRNA from 1 species
UACGUAGGGUGCAAGCGUUGUCCGGAAUUAUUGGGCGUAAAGAGCUCGUAGGCGGUCUGUCGCGUCGGCUGUGAAAUCCCGAGGCUCAACCUCGGGUCUGCAGUCGAUACGAGCAAACUAGAGUGUUGCAGGGGAGACUGGAAUUCCUGGUGUAGCGGUGAAAUGCGCAGAUAUCAGGAGGAACACCGGUGGCGAAGGCGGUUCUCUGGGCCUGUACUGACGCUGAGGAGCGAAAGCGUGGGGAGCGAACAGG